UCUUGCAAACUAAAGAUGGCGACCGGCGCACGGGUGAGUAACACGUAUCCAACCUGCCGAUAACUCGGGGAUAGCCUUUCGAAAGAAAGAUUAAUAUCCGAUAGUAUAUUAAAACCGCAUGGUUUUAUUAUUAAAGAAUUUCGGUUAUCGAUGGGGAUGCGUUCCAUUAGUUUGUUGGCGGGGUAACGGCCCACCAAGACUACGAUGGAUAGGGGUUCUGAGAGGAAGGUCCCCCACAUUGGAACUGAGACACGGUCCAA
rnacentral:rRNA from 1 species